UCUUCCUUAUGGAGGCGAAAGGCUGAGUAACACGUAGGUAAUCUGCCUUCAGGUGGAAAAUAACCUCGGGAAACUGAGGAUAAUGUUCCAUAGUUUUUGAAUACUGGAAUGUUUCAAAAACAAAAGCUUCGGCGCCUGAAGAUGAGCCUGCGACCUAUCAGGCUGUUGGUGGGGUAACGGCCCACCAAACCAUUGACGGGUAGGGGCAGUGAGAGCUGGAGCCCUCAGAUGGGUACUGAGACACGGACCCAAGCCCUACGGGGUGCAGCAGGCGCGAAACCUUCGCAAUGCACGCAAGUGUGACGAGGGGAUCCCAAGUGUUAUUGCUUAUUGCAAUAACUUUUCUUCAGCGUAAAGAACUUAAGGAAUAAGGGCUGGGAAAGACAGGUGCCAGCAGCCGCGGUAAUACCUGCAGCUCAAGUGGUCUGGACUUUUAUUGGGUCUAAAGCGUUCGUAGCUGGGUUCAUAAGUUCUCUGUGAAAUCUGACAGCUUAACUGUCAGUAGGGCAGAGGAUACUAUGGACCUUGAGACUGGGAUGGGUCAAGGGUACUCUCGGGGUAGGGGUGAAAUCCAAUAAUCCUGAGGGGACCACCUGUGGCGAAGGCGCUUGGCUAGAACAGGUCUGACAGUGAGGGACGAAAGCUAGGGUAGCGAACGGGAUUAGAUACCCCGGUAGUCCUAGCCGUAAAUGAUGUAUACUUGGUGUUGCAUUCCUCUAGAGGGUAUGCAGUGCCGAAGGGAAGCCGUU
rnacentral:rRNA from 1 species